UACAUUUAUAAGUUUCUUGUUUCUUUCUUUUUUUUUCUUUUCAUUUCUUGACUACUAGUAUCCCAAGUUGACAGUUUUUACACAA
rnacentral:ribozyme from 16 species